AGCGAGCGUUUGCGGCGGGCUUAACACAUGCAAGUCGAACGAGAAUCCCUUCGGGGAGGAAAGUGGCGCACGGGUGCGUAACACGUGGAUAACCAACCCAUUGGUUUGGGACAACACCGGGAAACUGGUGCUAAUACCAGAUGUGUCGCAGCUGUCUUCAGGCGGUUGCGAGAAAGGCCCGCAAGGGUCGCCAACGGACGGGUCCGCGUCCCAUCAGCUAGUUGGUGAGGUAAUGGCUCACCAAGGCAAAGACGGGUAGCUGGUCUGAGAGGAUGAUCAGCCACACUGGAACUGAGACACGGUCCAGACUCCUACGGGAGGCAGCAGUGGGGAAUAUUGCGCAAUGGGCGAAAGCCUGACGCAGCCACGCCGCGUGAGCGAUGAAGGUCUUCGGAUCGUAAAGCUCUGUGGGGGGAGAAGAAGAAAGCCGGUGAAGAGCCGGCCCUGACGGUAUCCCCUUAGCAAGCACCGGCUAACUCCGUGCCAGCAGCCGCGGUAAAG
rnacentral:rRNA from 1 species